UAAUUUAUGUCGAGUAGACCUUGUUGUUUCGUUUUACUGCAAGAAUUUU
rnacentral:sRNA from 1 species